GGGGUUGUUUAUGGAUUCGACAGAGUAGUUUAGAGCUUGAUAAGCAUGCCAACGUUGUGGUUGUAAAAACACUAGGUUAAAUAUAACCGGAAACCAAAAUUACGCUUACGCUGCUUAAUAUAUAAGCGCGUUCUCCCUUUACGACUUCCUAGAGUUGUAUCGGUUGAGAUCAGUAAUCUAGGAUAUAUUAAAGGUCUGCAGUCUUAAGAACUUUAAUGAAUACAAUAAGGCUCGCUAUUAACUUGGUUGUUUGCUUCUUGGUUAAUAGUUAAAACAAUGGGCAAACUAUGCAUGUAGAAAGUUGGGUAUCGGCUAUUUUGGACAGGGGUUCAAAUCCCCUCAACUCCACCA
rnacentral:tmRNA from 1 species